rnacentral:rRNA from 1 species
UACAGAGGGUGCGAGCGUUAAUCGGAAUUACUGGGCGUAAAGCGCGCGUAGGCGGCUUUGUAAGUCGGUUGUGAAAUCCCCGGGCUCAACCUGGGAACUGCAUCCGAGACUGCAUAGCUAGAGUAUGGGAGAGGGAAGUGGAAUUUCAGGCGUAGCGGUGGAAUGCGCAGAUAUCAGGAGGAACACCGGUGGCGAAGGCGGGAUCCUGGGCCAGUACUGACGCUGAGGAGCGAAAGCGUGGGGAGCAAACAGG